UUUUUAAUAAAGUUGAAUAUUUUCAAGGGAAAAAAAUGUUUUUUUUUGUGGGGCUUGGACUCCAAGAGAAAAAAAUGCAACUUAACAAGUAAACAAAAGUUGUAUAUCUUCACCAGAAGUAAUACAUUUUUUAUU